rfam:Cavia porcellus supercont2_3 genomic scaffold, whole genome shotgun sequence.
GGGGAUUUAGCUCAGCGGCAUAAGCGCCUGCCUUGCAAGCAGGGGGUCAUAAGUUUGAUCCCCG